AUCGCUUCUCGGCCUUUUGGCUAAGAUUAAGUGUAUACCCAGCUCCACAGAAGUCUACUUCAGUCUAGUCAGGAAAAUACCUUGAAUGGAAUUUUUAGUGAAUAGCACUACCCAAAAGUGGUUUGAUUUCAAAUAUGGCUACUAAUACCCUUCUAUUUUGAGAGUUGUAUUUUAAGGGUGACUCUCC
rfam:Otolemur garnettii contig180497, whole genome shotgun sequence.